GAUGAACGCUAGCGGCAGGCCUAAUACAUGCAAGUCGAACGGUAGAUCGGGUAGCAAUACUUGAUUGAGAGUGACGUAAGGGUGCGUAACACGUAUGCAAUCUACCCUCAACAGGAGUAUAGCUCGGGGGAAACUCGGAUUAACACUCCAUAACAUUACGAUGUGGCAUCACAUUGUGAUUAAAACUCCGGUGGUUGAGGAUGAGCAUGCGUCUGAUUAGUUAGUUGGAGGUGUAACGGACCCCCAAGACGAUGAUCAGUAGGGGAACUGAGAGGUUGAUCCCCCACACUGGCACUGAGAUACGGGCCAGACUCCUACGGGAGGCAGCAGUAGGGAAUAUUGGUCAAUGGGUGAGAGCCUGAACCAGCCAUGCCGCGUGCAGGAAGACGGCCUUUUGGGUUGUAAACUGCUUUUAUCUGGGGAUAAAAAGCCCAUGCGUGGGACAUUGAAGGUACCAGAUGAAUAAGCACCGGCUAACUACGUG
rnacentral:rRNA from 1 species